rnacentral:tRNA from 1 species
GGAUUGUAGCUCAGUGGUAGAGCACUUGCCUUGCAUGUGUGAGGCACUGGGUUUGAUCCUCAGCACCA